GAUGAACGCUAGCUACAGGCUUAACACAUGCAAGUCGAGGGGCAGCAUGAUUGAAGCUUGCUUCAAUCGAUGGCGACCGGCGCACGGGUGAGUAACACGUAUCCAACCUGCCGAUAACUCGGGGAUAGCCUUUCGAAAGAAAGAUUAAUACCCGAUAGUAUAGUAUUUCCGCAUGGUUUCACUAUUAAAGAACUUCGGUUAUCGAUGGGGAUGCGUUCCAUUAGAUAGUUGGCGGGGUAACGGCCCACCAAGUCAACGAUGGAUAGGGGUUCUGAGAGGAAGGUCCCCCACAUUGGAACUGAGACACGGUCCAAACUCCUACGGGAGGCAGCAGUGAGGAAUAUUGGUCAAUGGACGAGAGUCUGGACCAGCCAAGUAGCGUGAAGGAUGACUGCCCUAUGGGUUGUAAACUUCUUUUAUACGGGAAUAAAGUGGAGUAUGCAUACUCCUUUGUAUGUACCGUAUGAAUAAGGAUCGGCUAACUCCGUG
rnacentral:rRNA from 1 species